rnacentral:rRNA from 1 species
UAAGCGGAGGAAAAGAAACCAACAGGGAUUGCCUCAGUAACGGCGAGUGAAGCGGCAACAGCUCAAAUUUGAAAUCUGGCCUCUUCGGGGUCCGAGUUGUAAUUUGUAGAGGAUGUUUCGGGUACCGCCUCGGUUUAAAUUUCUUGGAACAGAAUGUCAGAGAGGGUGAGAAUCCCGUCUUGGACCGGCGGUAGGGCCCAUGUGAAACUCCUUCGACGAGUCGAGUUGUUUGGGAAUGCAGCUCAAAAUGGGUGGUAAAUUUCAUCUAAAGCUAAAUAUUGGCCAGAGACCGAUAGCGCACAAGUAGAGUGAUCGAAAGAUGAAAAGAACUUUGAAAAGAGAGUUAAACAGUAUGUGAAAUUGUUGAAAGGGAAGCGCUUACAACCAGACUUGAGCGCGGCGGUUCCCCCUUCCUUUUGGUUGGGUUACUCCGCCGUGUCCAGGCCAACAUCGGUUCUGGGGGUCGGUUAAAGGCCUGGGGAAUGUAUCUACUCCUUCGGGGGUAGACUUAUAGCCCCGGGUGUCAUGCGACCACCCGGGACCGAGGAACGCGCUUCGGCUCGGAUGUUGGCGUAAUGGUUGUCAGCGACCCGUCUUGAAACACGGACC